GAGUUUGAUCCUGGCUCAGCAUGAACGCUGGCGGUAUGCCUAACACAUGCAAGUCGUACGAGAGUUUUUAACUCAAGUGGCGGACGGGUGAGUAACACGUGAGAAUUUGCCUUUAGGAGGGGGACAACAGCUGGAAACGGUUGCUAAUACCCCAUAUGCUUCCGAGUGAAAUGAAUUUAUUCGCCUAAAGAGAAGCUCGCGGCUGAUUAGCUUGUUGGUAGGGUAAGAGCCUACCAAGGCGACGAUCAGUAUCUGGUUUGAGAGGACGAUCAGACACACUGGAACUGAGACACGGUCCAGACUCCUACGGGAGGCAGCAGUGGGGAAUUUUCCGCAAUGGGCGAAAGCCUGACGGAGCAAUACCGCGUGAGGGAAGACGGACUAUGGGUUGUAAACCUCUUUUUUCA
rnacentral:rRNA from 1 species